AGAAUUAAGAAGGGUUUGUGAAAAUCUUGAGGCUAAGUUGUAUUAAAAUGCAAGUUAUAGAUACGCUAAGUGCAGCAGGACCAGUUCAGCAUUAUUUCAGCCCUUAUACUUUCAAUGGAGGCACUAUUCUAGCCAUUGCUGGGGAAGAUUUCUCAGUUAUUGCUGCCGACACAAGGUUAAGUCAGGGCUUUUCUAUUCACACAAGAUUCAGUCCCAAGUCUUACAAAUU